GUGCCAGCCGCCGCGGUAAUACCGGCAGCCCGAGUGAUGGCCGAUCUUAUUGGGCCUAAAGCGUCCGUAGCUGGCUGCGCAAGUCCGUCGGAAAAUCCACCCGCCCAACGGGUGGGCGUCCGGUGGAAACUGUGUGGCUUGGGACCGGAAGGCGCGACGGGUACGUCCGGGGUAGGAGUGAAAUCCCAUAAUCCCGCACGGACCACCGAUGGCGAAAGCACUUCGAGAAAACGGAUCCGACAGUGAGGGACGAAAGCCAGGGUCUCCAACCGGAUUAGAAACCCGUGUAGUCC
rnacentral:rRNA from 1 species